GGGAGCAUAGCCAAGUGGUAAGGCGCGGGUCUGCAAAACCUUCAUUCCCCGGUUCAAGUCCGGGUGCUCCCUCCA
rnacentral:tRNA from 1 species